AGGUGCGAUCAUACCAACACUAAUGUACCGGAUCCCAUCAGAACUCCGCAGUUAAGCGUGCUUGGGCGAGUGAGGUACUAUCAUGGGUGAUCUCCAGGGAAGUCCUCGUGUUGUACCUC
rnacentral:rRNA from 2 species